CGGCUGGCUUAUCAAAUGCAAGUCGAGCGGAUGUAGAGAGCUUGCUCUCUUAUUUUAGCGGCGGACGGGUGAGUAAUGCCUAGGAAUCUGCCUGGUAGUGGGGGAUAACGUUCCGAAAGGAACGCUAAUACCGCGUACGUCCUACGGGAGAAAGCAGGGGACCUUCGGGCCUUGCGCUAUCAGAUGAGCCUAGGUCGGAUUAGCUAGUUGGUGAGGUAAUGGCUCACCAAGGCGACGAUCCGUAACUGGUCUGAGAGGAUGAUCAGUCACACUGGAACUGAGACACGGUCCAGACUCCUCCGGGAGGCAGCAGUGGGGAAUAUUGGACAAUGGGCGAAAGCCUGAUCCAGCCAUGCCGCGUGUGUGAAGAAGGUCUUCGGAUUGUAAAGCACUUUAAGUUGGGAGGAAGGGCAGUAAGUUAAUACCUUGCUGUUUUGACGUUACCGACAGAAUAAGCACCGGCUAACUUCGUGCCAGCAGCCGCGGUAAUACGAAGGGUGCAAGCGUUAAUCGGAAUUACUGGGCGUAAAGCGCGCGUAGGUGGUUCGUUAAGUUGGAUGUGAAAGCCCCGGGCUCAACCUGGGAACUGCAUCCAAAACUGGCGAGCUAGAGUACGGUAGAGGGUGGUGGAAUUUCCUGUGUAGCGGUGAAAUGCGUAGAUAUAGGAAGGAACACCAGUGGCGAAGGCGACCACCUGGACUGAUACUGACACUGAGGUGGGAAAGGGUGGGGAGCAAACAGGAUUAGAUACCCUGGUAGUCCACGCCGUAAACGAUGUCAACUAGCCGUUGGAGUCCUUGAGAUUUUAGUGGCGCAGCUAACGCAUUAAGUUGACCGCCUGGGGAGUACGGCCGCAAGGUUAAAACUCAAAUGAAUUGACGGGGGCCCGCACAAGCGGUGGAGCAUGUGGUUUAAUUCGAAGCAACGCGAAGAACCUUACCUGGCCUUGACAUGCUGAGAACUUUCCAGAGAUGGAUUGGUGCCUUCGGGAACUCAGACACAGGUGCUGCAUGGCUGUCGUCAGCUCGUGUCGUGAGAUGUUGGGUUAAGUCCCGUAACGAGCGCAACCCUUGUCCUUAGUUACCAGCACCUCGGGUGGGCACUCUAAGGAGACUGCCGGUGACAAACCGGAGGAAGGUGGGGAUGACGUCAAGUCAUCAUGGCCCUUACGGCCAGGGCUACACACGUGCUACAAUGGUCGGUACAAAGGGUUGCCAAGCCGCGAGGUGGAGCUAAUCCCAUAAAACCGAUCGUAGUCCGGAUCGCAGUCUGCAACUCGACUGCGUGAAGUCGGAAUCGCUAGUAAUCGUGAAUCAGAAUGUCACGGUGAAUACGUUCCCGGGCCUUGUACACACCGCCCGUCACACCAUGGGAGUGGGUUGCUCCAGAAGUAGCUAGUCUAACCUUCGGGGGGACGGUUACCACGGAGUGAUUCAUGACUGGGG
rnacentral:rRNA from 1 species